rnacentral:rRNA from 1 species
CCUGCCGGCGACCGGCGCACGGGUGAGUAACACGUAUGCAACCUGCCCGUGGCAGGGGGAUAAGCGGGGGAAACCCCGUCUAAUACCGCGUAACGCGGCCUUGGGGCAUCCCAAGGCCGCCAAAGGGAGCAAUCCCGGCCACGGAUGGGCAUGCGGCGCAUUAGCUAGUCGGCGGGGUAACGGCCCACCGAGGCGACGAUGCGUAGGGGUUCUGAGAGGAAGGCCCCCCACACUGGUACUGAGACACGGACCAGACUCCUACGGGAGGCAGCAG